CAGCAGCCACGGUAAUACGUAGGUGGCAAGCGUUGUCCGGAAUUAUUGGGCGUAAAGGGCUCGCAGGCGGUUUCUCAAGUCUGAUGUGAAAGCCCCCGGCUCAACCGGGGAGGGUCAUUGGAAACUGGGAAACUUGAGUGCAGAAGAGGAGAGUGGAAUUCCACGUGUAGCGGUGAAAUGCGUAGAGAUGUGGAGGAACACCAGUGGCGAAGGCGACUCUCUGGUCUGUAACUGACGCUGAGGAGCGAAAGCGUGGGGAGCGAACAGGAUUAGAUACCCCGGUAGUCCCUGUCUCUUAUAC
rnacentral:rRNA from 1 species